GAAAUGCGAUAAGUAAUGUGAAUUGCAGAAUUCAGUGAAUCAUCGAAUCUUUGAACGCACAUUGCGCCCGCCAGUAUUCUGGCGGGCAUGCCUGUUCAAGCGUCAUUUCAACCAUCAAGCCCCGGGCUUGUGUUGGGGACCUGCGGCUGCCGCAGGCCCUGAAAACCAGUGGCGGGCUCGCUGUCACACCGAGCGUAGUAGAUUCUCAUCUCGCUCAGGGCGUGCUGCGGGUUCCGGCCGUAAAACAGCCUUAUUUUACCCAAGGUUGACCUCGGAUCAGGUAGGAAGACCCGCUGAACUUAAGC
rnacentral:misc_RNA from 1 species